AGAGCGGAGGUAACAGUACCUCUAGAAAUGAUCCAGAUGACUGUUAGCUCCGAUCAGC
rnacentral:pre_miRNA from 1 species